rnacentral:tRNA from 1 species
GCCCCUGUGGUGGAAUGGUAGACACGGCAGACUCAAAAUCUGUUGCUCGCAAAAGCAUGCUGGUUCAAGUCCGGCCAGGGGCA